CAACUGUACCUCAGUGGAGAGCCUGCAGUGAGGGGAUCCAUCGUGCUUAAGGGAGAGCAAAGGGAACAUCUGUGAGUGCUUAAUUCAAAUGCUGAGGGUCCAGAAAACUUGUUCCUGAGUCAGACAACACCAGAGGAUAACAGCAAUGUGACCUCACCAACAAGAAACAUCAAGGAAAUGAGGCUAUUGUAACGAUCUGGAAGGUGUACGUGGGCACUACUCACUCCCUGGGACUAAGAGACCUUAAUUGUGUUACCACCCACCUCUCACAGCUACAGCACUCUUCUGGUGACUGUUCCCUGCCUGAGUGGGUCGGAGCACCACAGGAAGUGCUAUCUUGUGGAGAUUUCAAGCAUGGGCCACACCAUGGGGGUUCCUGAUUUGCCUGCCUCCUGUCUUGUCUCUGGGAGUGU